GAUGAACGCUAGCGGGAGGCCUAACACAUGCAAGCCGAGCGGUAGAGUUUCUUCGGAAACUUGAGAGUGGCGCACGGGUGCGUAACACGUGUGCAACCUACCUUUAUCUGGGGGAUAGCCUUUCGAAAGGAAGAUUAAUACCCCAUAAUAUAAUGAUUGGCAUCAAUUAUUAUUGAAAACUCCGGUGGAUAGAGAUGGGCACGCGCAAGAUUAGAUAGUUGGUGAGGUAACGGCUCACCAAGUCAAUGAUCUUUAGGGGUCCUGAGAGGGAGAUCCCCCACACUGGUACUGAGACACGGACCAGACUCCUACGGGAGGCAGCAGUGAGGAAUAUUGGACAAUGGGUGAGAGCCUGAUCCAGCCAUCCCGCGUGAAGGAUGACGGUCCUAUGGAUUGUAAACUUCUUUUGUACAGGGAUAAACCUACCCUCGUGAGGGUAGCUGAAGGUACUGUACGAAUAAGCACCGGCUAACUCCGUG
rnacentral:rRNA from 1 species